AGAGUUUGAUCCUGGCUCAGGAUGAACGCUAGCGGGAGGCUUAACACAUGCAAGUCGAGGGGCAGCACGGGUAGCAAUAUCUGGUGGCGACCGGCGCACGGGUGCGUAACGCGUAUGCAACCUACCUUUAACUGGGGCAUAGCUUCGAGAAAUCGGAAUUAAUACCCCAUAAUAUUAUGAAGUGGCAUCACUUUAUAAUUAAAGCUCCGGCGGUUAGAGAUGGGCAUGCGUGACAUUAGCUAGUUGGUAAGGUAACGGCUUACCAAGGCUACGAUGUCUAGGGGGUCUGAGAGGAUGAUCCCCCACACUGGUACUGAGACACGGACCAGACUCCUACGGGAGGCAGCAGUGAGGAAUAUUGGUCAAUGGGCGCAAGCCUGAACCAGCCAUCCCGCGUGAAGGAUGAAUGUCCUAUGGAUUGUAAACUUCUUUUGUACGGAAAGAAACCCCCCGACGUGUCGGGGGUUGACGGUACUGUACGAAUAAGCAUCGGCUAACUCCGUGCCAGCAGCCGCGGUAAUACGGAGGAUGCAAGCGUUAUCCGGAUUCAUUGGGUUUAAAGGGUGCGUAGGCGGGCUUCUAAGUCAGUGGUGAAAACCUACAGCUUAACUGUAGAACUGCCAUUGAUACUGGAAGCCUUGAAUACGGUUGAGGUAGGCGGAAUGUGUAAUGUAGCGGUGAAAUGCUUAGAUAUUACACAGAACACCGAUUGCGAAGGCAGCUUACUAAGCCGUAAUUGACGCUGAGGCACGAAAGCGUGGGGAGCAAACAGGAUUAGAUACCCUGGUAGUCC
rnacentral:rRNA from 1 species